AGUGAACGCUGGCGGUAGGCCUAACACAUGCAAGUCGAACGGCAGCACAGUAAGAGCUUGCUCUUACGGGUGGCGAGUGGCGGACGGGUGAGGAAUACAUCGGAAUCUACUUUUUCGUGGGGGAUAACGUAGGGAAACUUACGCUAAUACCGCAUACGACCUACGGGUGAAAGCAGGGGAUCUUCGGACCUUGCGCGAUUGAAUGAGCCGAUGUCGGAUUAGCUAGUUGGCGGGGUAGAGGCCCACCAAGGCGACGAUCCGUAGCUGGUCUGAGAGGAUGAUCAGCCACACUGGAACUGGGACACGGUCCAGACUCCUACGGGAGGCAGCAGUGGGGAAUAUUGGACAAUGGGCGCAAGCCUGAUCCAGCCAUACCGCGUGGGUGAAGAAGGCCUUCGGGUUGUAAAGCCCUUUUGUUGGGAAAGAAAAGCAGCAGGUUAAUACCCCGCUGUUCUGACGGUACCCAAAGAAUAAGCACCGGCUAACUUCGUG
rnacentral:rRNA from 1 species